GGGCGCAGGACUGCAGGCUGGGGCUCCGCUCCCCGGCGGGAGCCCGCGCGUGGUUCCCAGCGAAGUCCCCGCGCGGCUGGGCCCAGCGUGAGUAUUCUCCGCCCGCUGUCCUCCCCCUGGAGGCGGCAGCGCCCGUUUAUUUGAGGAGGAUGAGGCUGUCACUACUACAGUUGGGACUGUUUCAUACUCCGUGCUCUUGUGCUAUGCCAGGGGGUACUGUCUAACCCACAAGUCUCUGCCAGGAAUGUUGCUGUCCACACUGGAGUGUAAGACACCUGCGGAGCUCGUCUAUGGGGCUCAUGUUGGCUGAGGCUCUGAACUACAGAACUGCAAACAACCAAGGGAGCGCCCCAGGCCCCAGGUAUUCCUAAACCUUAGAUCAGAGCCAUUUGCAGCACAGAGUUGUGUGCUGUUUCAAAACCACAGACCCUGUAUAUACGCCCCUCCAUUGCAGAGGUGGAUGUCUUGGCAAAUGUAGGACGAGGAUUGAAAAUUAAAAAACAAACACACCGUGUUCAGGGUGAAAAUUACAUACAUUGACAAUACUGUCUCUUUUCCUCCACAAUCUUACUGCCACCAGGCAGCCUCAGUCAGUCCGUGCUUAUUUCACUGAAAAUGUACUUAAUCUCAGAAAAGCUAUCUAUAUGUAAGAACAUAUUUUGUUAAUCAAUUUUAUGAAAACAAAACCCCUCUCACCUUAGUUGAAUAAAGUGCUAAUUUGAAAUACUGCCUCAUGAUUGUAAUAUGCACACAUAUGUAAUAGUAUUUGUUUUUUAGGUGUCCCUUAACAAGACAGGGAUGAGCAAACUAUAUGGUGCGUGCUGGAAAGAAAUUCAGUUUUAAAUGACCUUAAGGAAAUGGCUUGUUUGGUUAAGGAAAAUAAACUCAAUUGACAGUUAAGGUGAAAUGAACUUGUAAAAUUUCGUAUCAAUUACAACUCUUAUCGAUAAAAUGCCACCUGGAUCUUUAAAAUGCCAAGGUGUUCAAAGUUAUCAGAAAAUUUAAAAUUGGGGGGGGGGGGUUGAAGUAUUUUUGUUGUUGUUGUUAUUGUUCUCCCUCGCACUAAACAGCAUAGAAGUAAUAGUUUCCGUCACUUCAGGCUUCUAUUGGGGGAUUUUCAUCUUGUUCCAGAAGGAAGUAGCAGGAAAGCAACUUGUAUAGGUAACAGCCUCAGUCUAAAGGGCAUUAUUUCCAGGCAGAAUUUCUAUAGUUACCCUUGUCUGGGAACACUGUUAAGGGAUAUGUUUUAAUUUUAGGUCAGAACAACUGGGUUAAGCAUUAUGUAAGAUCUGGAGAAAACACUGAUGAGGGAAGGUGGAGGAGAAAGCAAGCAACAUUAGUUUACUGCGCGGCCAAAGGACUACUCCAGGCACCAGUGAGGAAGGGUAAUUUAGAUUUCUAGUGGGCACCCUGCCGGCCCAUUUCAUAACAAUCAGGGGGCCUGGAGUGGGGGGGCUUGCGGGUAGUUGAUAUCAAAUCCCGGUCUCUCUCACUUCCGCUCAAUCGGCUUUUGGCCAAAGACGAGUAUCUUCUUCCUGGACUGCCUUCUCCCACCCCAACCCAGACACCAAGGGGACGCGACAGCGGUUUUGGGACGCUGGCUGAUCAUCUGAGAGGAGGCGAUCCCGGCCCCGCUGGGCGUUCAGGAUCCCGAUCUGGAUGCCGUCCACCCCGCCCCGCCGGGGGCUGGGGCGAAAGCGGAACAAGUCGGCGGGGCUGGUUGGGCCGCGACCUCCGGGGCACGUGGCCGCAGACAGUGCCCGUGCCGGGGCGGGGAGGCGAGUUCUCCCUGCGGCCGCGGACCCUGGAUGGUGGCGUCGCCCGAAGACGCGCCUCACCGGCCUGGGUGGGGUUGCCUUUUGCCCUCGAGGCUGGCCUAAGCGCUGGGGGGCCGCUGGCUAACCCUGAGGUAGAUACUCGGGAAAUGGGUGGAAUAGGGAAAGGGACUCAGCCCUUCCGCCCUUUUCCCCAGUCGAGGCCCGCGUCACUGCCCUGUGGGUGCAGACGCCUCCAGUGUCACUCCCCUGGAUUUCGCUUGGGCAGAAGAAGAGAUUGUAGGCCGGACCCCAACGCCGAAGCCCUGAGGCUUCUAAUGUGAGGAAAAACACGGAAUGACAAGUGUGGGAAAGAGCAAGCACUAAAUUACUGUCAGAAAAAUAAACGGAGUAGCACAGUGCUGCUCGGUGAUUUACGGGGGCAAUUAGUCACCACCCCACGGCGCUGCUGAGGACAGCACGGCAGCAGACAAGUCAGGCCCAUGAGGAAGAAGAGGCUUUGCACUGCUCUCCAGACAACUUUUCAAACAACAAGAGAGGAUAUUUGAGCACAUUAGGUUUUGUGUCUUCAUUCUGGGUACCUACUCUUCAUAUUAUUCUACCAACUUAAUACAUAAACAUAUUUUUAGCACAAUAUGAACCUGUUCUAUGUGUGUUUAAAAGCCUCCAGCAGCAACUUUUUUCUCUCCCACUGUCCAAAGUUGGGUUUUCCCCAUCCCUUAAAAAACAAAACAAAAAAACCUUUCUUCACUCCAAAUUGUCCCCCUGGUGUGUGGUUUUGGUCUUUCUCAUUACUUCUUGCAUCUUGCUACAUGUUCUGCAUUUGCUCAGAGCCACUGGGUGCUAAGGAAUUUGGUCUGCUGCUCCUCUGGGAAAGUUUGGUAAGCUGGUACAAGGAGGUGAUGAACAAGGCUAAAUGAAAAUCAUACAUAAACUUCCCAAUAUUUGUGAACAUGUUCUUUAACAUACCAUACAUAGUUUCUAUGUAUAUGUAACAUAGCAAAACAAACUUGCUAAGGUAUAAUUAAUUGGUAUGCAUGCCUUCAUAAAUAUUCACCAUCAGAAGAAACCUAGAAUGAAAGGUUGUGAAAGAACCCAGGAAUGAGAAAGACUUUAUUGACUAAAGGCCAUGUCUAUGUAGGGGCAACAAUGAAGCUGUGGGUGAGCAAAUGAAGCUUCAUCAGGAGUUUAGUAUCCUUAUGUAGCAUUACCUAAGAAUGCUACCAUAGUAAAUUUCUGAAGUACUUUACCUGUUACAAAGAACGUUUGUAAUCUCCUUUUCUUAUUUGAUCUUGCCCUGGCUUUAGUCAGGAACACCUGCUCAGUUAGAAAUGUAUUCGGUGGGUAUGUACGCAGUUGGAGAAUGUGCCCCAACACACGCCGCCUUUGGCCUGUAUGUUGGAGUCCUAGAGAGGCAGACAAUGUUGAUGAGCUUGGUACCAGCAUGGUGCGCCAUUCAUCCGGACACAAUUUCUGAUAAAGAGGGUCACAACUGGGAGAAACCUCAGAUUCUACUUGCUUCUCUUCUCCACGUUAUUAGACUUUUUUUCCCCUCUUGAAUUUUAUAAGCACACUCCUUUUAAAACAAUUAAUUAAUAACGAGCACUGGGAUUUGAUGUAGAAUUGCGUAUUUGUAACUGCAAUGGCACUGGUUUUCAACUACCCUGUAACAAGGAAGCAAUUCUAACCAGCAAAAGAGGCAGACGUGUUUCUGUGCAACAUCACAGGCGUGUGAAAUUGUUCAGAUAUUGAGAUAUCAGGAGUGAUAUAAAUUGGAAAUUUAACCAAAAAUAUUUUCCAUCAGUGAACAAAGCCGAUUUUAAAGUGCCUCUUGCAUUUUUCAGAUCUUUCUCUUUCUUUUUCCCAAAGUCACAUUGUAGUUUCUGAUAAAGGAACACACUGGGAAAACUAAGCACAUAUUUAAUCAAUGAAAUUUAAGGUGUAAAAAUUCUGCAUUUCUGACAAAUUUAAUGUUCACUUUUUUCUUGAUUUAAAUAGAGCAUUCUAAAAAUAUUACCCCUAUAGGGGAUAAAUUUUUAUAUGCAUGUUAUUUUUCUUUACAAAGUGUGGGCUAGUAAAGAGUGAAAAAGACCUUGGCUAUUGUACUUAUUUCUUGAAAGAAAUAAUAGCAUCUUAAUGACUGGAUUCAAAUCUCUGCUUAUCACACAACUUCCGUACAGUUCAAAGAGAGGACUUGGAUUGAAUGAAAACAGAGAGCUGGGGCUUCCUACAUUCCCCUGUGUUUGUGUUCAUACAGAAUAUUUAUGCAAUAUUCUGACUUGGCCAUAAUCUGUAAUUCCUGCCUAUUAUUCUCAGUUGCAACUAUAAAUUCUAGAUUAAUGGUUAUAAUUUUGGUAAG
rnacentral:lncRNA from 1 species